rnacentral:lncRNA from 1 species
AAGCAGACACAUUUCUGUUGUUCACUAACAUGGACAAUAAAGUUGUAUUGAUAUUGAUUGUGUUAUUUUCCUUUUGACCUUUGACUUCCAGUUACCUCAGUACUCUUAUCUUGGUAAGGGUCAGGAUGGACAGAUGGGUGUCUACACCGUCCAGGUGGCCAAUGGAGAUGACGUCAAAGAGAUCACCUUUGACCUGCAGGUCAUUGCUCCCCCGAAGAUAGUAGAUCUGUCUAACCAGCACAUGGACCAGGGCCACGGUGUGCUCUGUGUCACAGAUGGGGCCCCCACACCCACUGUUCACUGGUACAGCUGUGAAACCAAUGGAAAGUAAGAGGGAAAAACCCUGGAAAUAAAUACUGACCAACACAAUGAAGCAUAUUCAGCCUCUUCAGUUGUGUUGCGACUUUCUCCUCUCAAACUGUAGAGGGUAGUGCAGCGCUAGGGCCACAUUCGUAAAUAUUAGUCAUAAUUGUUAGACCUGU